rnacentral:rRNA from 1 species
GACGAACGCUGGCGGCAUGCCUAAUACAUGCAAGUCGAGCGAACAGAUGAAGUGCUUGCACUUCUGACGUUAGCGGCGAACGGGUGAGUAACACGUAAGGAAUCUACCUCUAAGCGGGGGAUAACAUUCGGAAACGGGUGCUAAUACCGCAUAAUAUCUUCUUCCGCAUGGAAGAAGAUUGAAAGACGGCUCUGCUGUCACUUAUAGAUGACCUUGCGGUGCAUUAGUUAGUUGGUGGGGUAACGGCCUACCAAGACGACGAUGCAUAGCCGACCUGAGAGGGUGAUCGGCCACAUUGGGACUGAGACACGGCCCAAACUCCUACGGGAGGCAGCAGUAGGGAAUCUUCCGCAAUGGGCGAAAGCCUGACGGAGCAAUGCCGCGUGAGUGAAGAAGGCCUUCGGGUCGUAAAACUCUGUUAUAAGAGAAGAACAAAUUGUAGAGUAACUGCUACAGUCUUGACGGUAUCUUAUCAGAAAGCCACGGCUAACUACGUGCCAGCAGCCGCCGUAA